CCAAUAGCGUAUAUUAAAGUUGUUGCAGUUAAAAAGCUCGUAGUUGAAUUUCGGAAUCAAUAUGUUGGUCGUGCCUUGGUACGUACUGGCAUUAUUGGUUUCUACCUUCUGAAGAACCUCGAUGUCAUUAAUUUGGUGUCUUGGGGAAUCAGGACUGUUACUUUGAAAAAAUUAGAGUGUUUAAAGCAAGCUCACGCUUGAAUACAUUAGCAUGGAAUAAUGAAAUAGGACGUUUGAUUCUAUUUUGUUGGUUUCUAGGAUCGACGUAAUGAUUAAUAGGGAUAGUUGGGGGCAUUAGUAUUCAAUUGUCAGAGGUGAAAUUCUUGGAUUUAUUGAAGACUAACUACUGCGAAAGCAUUUGCCAAGGAUGUUUUCAUUAAUCAAGAACGAAAGUUAGGGGAUCGAAGACGAUCAGAUACCGUCGUAGUCUUAACCAUAAACUAUGCCGACUAGGGAUCGGAUGAUGUUAAUUUUUUAAUGACCCAUUCGGCGCCUUACG
rnacentral:rRNA from 1 species